rnacentral:rRNA from 1 species
CCUACGGGAGGCAGCAGUGGGGAAUAUUGGACAAUGGGCGAAAGCCUGAUCCAGCAAUGCCGCGUGAGUGAUGAAGGCCUUCGGGUCGUAAAGCUCUUUUACCAGGGAUGAUAAUGACAGUACCUGGAGAAUAAGCUCCGGCUAACUCCGUGCCAGCAGCCGCGGUAAUACGGAGGGAGCUAGCGUUGUUCGGAAUUACUGGGCGUAAAGAGUACGUAGGCGGUUAUUCAAGUCAGAGGUGAAAGCCCGGGGCUCAACCCCGGAACUGCCUUUGAAACUAGAUAACUAGAGUCUUGGAGAGGUUAGUGGAAUUCCGAGUGUAGAGGUGAAAUUCGUAGAUAUUCGGAAGAACACCAGUGGCGAAGGCGACUAACUGGACAAGUACUGACGCUGAGGUACGAAAGCGUGGGGAGCAAACAGGAUUAGAUACCCUGGUAGUCCACGCCGUAAACGAUGAUAACUAGUUGUUCGGUCACUUGGUUGACUGAGUGACGCAGCUAACGCAUUAAGUUAUCGCCUGGGAGUACGGUCGCAGAUAAACUACAAAUGAAUUGACGGCUGGUAGAGUUGCGACGACGACGACGAGGAGGAGG